UGGCUGCUAAUACCGCAUAAGCGCACAGAGCUGCAUGGCUCAGUGUGAAAAACUCCGGUGGUAUAAGAUGGACCCGCGUUGGAUUAGCUAGUUGGUGGGGUAACGGCCCACCAAGGCGACGAUCCAUAGCCGGCCUGAGAGGGUGAACGGCCACAUUGGGACUGAGACACGGCCCAGACUCCUACGGGAGGCAGCAGUGGGGAAUAUUGCACAAUGGGGGAAACCCUGAUGCAGCGACGCCGCGUGAAGGAAGAAGUAUCUCGGUAUGUAAACUUCUAUCAGCAGGGAAGACAGUGACGGUACCUGACUAAGAAGCCCCGGCUAACUACGUGCCAGCAGCCGCGGUAAUACGUAGGGGGCAAGCGUUAUCCGGAUUUACUGGGUGUAAAGGGAGCGUAGACGGUGUGGCAAGUCUGAUGUGAAAGGCAUGGGCUCAACCCGUACUGGCUCUGGAAACUGAUCAGCUAGAGAACAGAAGAGGACGGCGGAACUCCAUGUGUAGCGGUAAAAUGCGUAGAUAUAUGGAAGAACACCGGUGGCGAAGGCGGCCGUCUGGUCUGGAUUCUGACACUGAAGCACGAAAGCGUGGGGAGCAAAUAGGAUUAGAUACCCUAGUAGUCCACGCCGUAAACGAUGAGAACUAGGUGUUGGGGGAAUAACUCAGUGCCGCAGUUAACGCAGUAAGUUCUCCGCCUGGGGAGUAUGCACGCAAGUGUGAAACUCAAAGGAAUUGACGGGGGCCCGCACAAGCGGUGGAGUAUGUGGUUUAAUUCGAAGCAACGCGAAGAACCUUACCAGGCCUUGACAUCCCUUGCAGAGGUAUAGAGAUAUAUCUGAGGUUAUCAAGGAGACAGGUGGUGCAUGGUUGUCGUCAGCUCGUGUCGUGAGAUGUUGGGUUAAGUCCCGCAACGAGCGCAACCCUUGUGAUAUGUUACUAACAUUGAGUUGAGGACUCAUAUCAGACUGCCGGUGAUAAACCGGAGGAAGGUGGGGAUGACGUCAAAUCAUCAUGCCCCUUAUGGCCUGGGCUACACACGUACUACAAUGGCGUCUACAAAGAGCGGCAAGCCUGUGAAGGCAAGCGAAUCUCAUAAAGGACGUCUCAGUUCGGAUUGAAGUCUGCAACCCGACUUCAUGAAGCUGGAAUCGCUAGUAAUCGCGAAUCAGCAUGUCGCGGUGAAUACGUUCUCGGGCCUUGUACACACCGCCCGUCAAACCAUGGGAGUUGGUAAUGCCCGAAGCCGGUGGCAUAACCCUUCGGGGAGUGAGCCGUCGAAGGCAGGACCGAUGACUGGGGUUAAGUCGUAACAAGGUA
rnacentral:rRNA from 1 species